rnacentral:rRNA from 1 species
AUUGAACGCUGGCGGCAUGCUUUACACAUGCAAGUCGAACGGUAACAGGCCGCAAGGUGCUGACGAGUGGCGAACGGGUGAGUAAUGCAUCGGAACGUGCCCAGUCGUGGGGGAUAACGCAGCGAAAGCUGCGCUAAUACCGCAUACGAUCUAUGGAUGAAAGCGGGGGACCGUAAGGCCUCGCGCGAUUGGAGGGGCCGAGGUCAGAUUAGGUAGUUGGUGGGGUAAAGGCCCACCAAGCCAACGAUCUGUAGCGGGUCUGAGAGGACGACCAGCCACACUGGGACUGGGACACGGCCCAGACUCCUACGGGAGGCAGCAGUGGGGAAUUUUGGACAAUGGGCGCAAGCCUGAUCCAGCAAUGCCGCGUGCAGGAAGAAGGCCUUCGGGUUGUAAACUGCUUUUGUACGGAACGAAACGGUCCUGGUUAAUACCUGGGGCUAAUGACGGUACCGUAAGAAUAAGCACCGGCUAACUACGUGCCAGCCGCCGCCGUAACAC